rnacentral:lncRNA from 1 species
UCGGCGCCAUUUUGUCUCGGCAGCGGUGGCCGUAGCUCCAUCGCAUUUUAUGUUUCUGGCGAGAAGGGAACGGAGUUUUCAUCAGGUAGAUUGGUUUUUGUGCGGCCGUCCUCCACCGUUUCCUCCAGGACAGCACCUAGUCGUGGCCGGAGGAGUCUCAGAGCUGUCAGAAAGAAUAAGACUGAUUUUAUGGGAAAAUUAAGCAGAUGCUCCAGUUUGAGAAACCUGGAUCUGCGAUCUGUUUGUGAGUGGUAUUCAGUUAAGAGAACAAUUAUUUCGUAUAAGCCACAUCAGAGACGACUGAAGAUGAAAAAACUACCAUCCCCGUAUAUAACUAAUUUGUGCUGUGCACCAACAAGAACCUGCUUUAAAUUUCCAUGGCAAUUUACAACCCCCAUACUGUACCAGGCAAGGUACCAGCAUCAAGAUGAUUUAUGGUAAUAAGGUACUCAGUCUUUGCUUAAAAUAAAUUUUACGUUUAUCAAAGUAAAAUUUACCAGCUUUUUUUCCUAAAGAGGCUAGUCAUAUCUCAUCAGUGGUUACAAAGUAUCCUUACAAUUGAACCUACAUUUGUUAAUCCUGUUCAGUGUGUAUGAAAAUCACUUGGUGGCCGGGCAUGGUGGCUCACGCCUGUAAUCCCAGCACUUUGGGAGGCCAAGGCGGGCAGAUCACAAGGUCAGGAGUUCGAGACCAGCCUGGCUAAUAUAGUGAAACCCCAUUUCUACUAAAAAUGCAAACAUUAGUCAGGCAUGGUGGCAGGUGCCUGUAGUCCCAGCUACUUGGGAGGCUGAGGCAGGAGACUCUCUUCAACCCGUGAGGCAGAGGUUGCAGUGAGUCGAGAUCAUGUCACUGCACUUCAGCUUAAGCAACAGAGCGAGACUCCAUCUCAAAAAAAGAAAAGCACGUCACUCGAUGUUCUUUCUUUCAUAAGAGUUGAAGAACUAGAUAUAAAACCAAGGAAAAUAACCUAAAGUCUGAAAAAGACCAGAAUCGAAGUUUCCUGAUUCAUAUUUUAAUGUUUUGAAAUUUAUACUCCAGGCUGGGUGCAGUGGCUUGUGCCUGUAAUCCCAGCACUUUGGGAGGCCGAGGCGGCCGGAUUGCCUGAAGUCAGAAGUUCGAGACCAGCCUGACCAACAUGGUGAAACCCUGUCUCUACUUAAAAAUACAAAAGAGCUGGGCAUGGAGGUGGUGCGCGCCUGUAACCCUAGCUACUCGGGAGGCUGAGGCCUAAGAAUCUCUUGAACCCAGGAGGCAGAGGUUGUAGUGAGCCGGGAUCACGCCACUGCACUCUAGCCUGGGCGACAGAGAGAGAGACUGUCUAAAAAAGGAAAAGAAAAAAAUUUAUACGCCAAAAAAGAUAUUCUGAGAUAACCUGUAGUUACCACUAACUUUGUGACAAAAUUAUAAAAAUCCACAGCCAUCUAUGAAUCUGUAGGCAGACCUGAAGUUUGAACGACUGGUGAAGACAUCUGAUUUUCUUUAUAGCCAAGUUAGGAUAACAAAAUGCAAACAAGUCAUUAAUAUUUACUAUAUGCAAGAUACAGAAAGAUGAAGGAAGGAGUAAGAAGUUAUCCUUCGUGGAACUAUUCAAAGCAAAAAUGCAAAAUACCAGGGAAAGCUUUGAAGAACCAAGAUUUGAGCAGGUUCUUAGAAUAUAGAUUGGAUUGGAUUUGAUUUCAAGAAAGAUGAACGUGUAAAGCAGAAGUGGGAAGCCAAAAACUUUUUUCCAAAUUAGAAUUAAGCAUUCUUUCAAUGAACAUUUGGAAAUCAAGGUAGAAAAAUAUCCCUAGGGCCUAGCUGAGGAGUCUGUAUGUUGUUGGGUUUUGAUAGUAACCAGUCCAAGAUUUUGUUAUUAGACGUGGGUUUCUGAAUAGACAGGCAUUUCUGAACAGACAUGACAGGAUCAAAACAAUGUUUGAGCAAACUGCCCUUCAUCUACUGUGGAUAUGUUGGGGGAUGAUGGAAUAUAGUGAAAGAUAAUGGGUGCUCAUACAGCAGUCUAGACUUAAGGUGAUUCAACUACUAUAUAUUAAACUAGAUUAUCUUUUAUUUUUUAAUUUUGAAAUCUGGAUGCUCAAGCUCUGCCUGCACAACCACAUGAGGAAGAAGGAACAAUGACAACAAAAAUAACACUAAAUUUAAAUUUAAGAGUACUACUUUUAGGAAAUAGACAAACCAUUAUUUGGGUACAACUAAAGGCAACUGGCAUGGACUCAAAUAUUUUGGGGAAGAAAAAGACUAAAAGUUCUAAGGAAGAAAAUGCGAACCUUGAUAGUUUGAAAUAGUUAAAAAGACAGUGUAGAAACUGCUUAGGCAGUUUGAUUAUGGACUAUUAGAUGAUACUUGGGUCUGAUAAUGGUAUAAGGAGAAUAAAGUAUUUAGGGAUCCAAUAUUACGCCUGCAGCUUUUUCCAAAUAGUUCAUGGGGGAGGGGGAUGUGUAAGUGGUUAACUGAAGUCUAACUAGAUAGGUUUGUUGUAAGCUUAGGAUGUUUACAGUUCUUCAUGUUAAGUUGAGCGUGAUGGGAAGGGAAAGAAUGCUGAUCUUUAAAUUUUUGUCCUUAGUUAAGUUCUGUAUUUAGUGAAUUAAUUGCAUCCUAAAAAGUCAAACUUGAAAAGCACAUUUUAAAUGGCAAAUCUAUUUUUUACAUGUUUGUGAAGUUUUUAUUUUUUAGUAAACAGACCAUCAGAAGAGAACAAUGGUACAGAGCAGGGGUCAGCAGAUGGAUUUUGUAAAGCAUCAACUUGUAAAUAUUUUCAAGUUUAUUAGCUGUAUGGCUCUGGUUUCUGUUCCCUGUUCCAAAUGUUAAAGUCUACUGUUGUAUUCUAAAAGCAGCCAUGGACUGAAUGUAGCUGUGUUCCAAUAAAACUUACACAAAAGCAGGCAGUGGGCCAUAAUUUGCAACACCUGAUUCACAGCAUAAUUUUGUCACAAACUGAAAGUGUUCCUCAAUUAAAGUGAUUUUUUUUUCUUG